rnacentral:rRNA from 1 species
GACGAACGCUGGCGGCGUGCUUAACACAUGCAAGUCGAACGGAAAGGCCCUGCUUUUGUGGGGUGCUCGAGUGGCGAACGGGUGAUUAACACGUGAGUAACCUGCCCUUGACUUUGGGAUAACUUCAGGAAACUGGGGCUAAUACCGGAUAGGAGCUCCUGCUGCGUGGUGGGGGUUGGAAAGUUUCGGCGGUUGGGGAUGGACUCGCGUCUUAUCGGCUUGUUGGUGGGGUAGUGGCUUACCAAGGCUUUGACGGGUAGCCGGCCUGAGAGGGUGACCGGCCAAAUUGGGACUGGGAUACGGCCCAGACUACUACGGGAGGCAGCGGUGGGGAAUAUUGCACAAUGGGCGGAAGCCUGCUGCAGCAAAGCCGCGUGCGGGAUGACGGCCUUCGGGUUGUAAACCGCUUUCGCCUGUGACGAAGCGUGAGUGACGGUAAUGGGUAAAGAAGCACCGGCUAACUACGUG